rnacentral:lncRNA from 1 species
ACUCGCGGCCCCUAACCUGCCCCGGGAGCCCGGGAGUGCGGCUUGGGAAGGAGGGAAAGGAGUGUGUGAGCAGGGAUUGGCCCGAACCUAUCUCCACGCUCUCCCCCGGGACUGGAGGUGAAGGGGGGCGUGGAGAAAAUCUCAGGGAACAGGGGCUUCGACAGGGGGCUCCCGCCCGCCCGAGCCCCCUCCCCAAAAUGCGAGGCCUGCACAGUAUGCCUUCUCCGCAAAACCUCGGCAAGCGGGUUAGUGAAUUCAGGUCACUAAGAAGCUGAGCCCGCGGAAAGCUGCCCAAACACCCCCUUCUCUAGGGGACUCCCCACGCCCCCCGCCGGGACGCGUUCCCGAAGUCGCCGCCUGGACUGCAACCGCGUGGCCUGCGCCGCGUCCUCUUCUCCGCAGCCUCCGAGGCCCGUGCGACCAAGCUGAAACCGCUUAUUCUCCGGAGCCCCUAUGACCCCGGGUGGGGGCCAGGGCUCGCCUCGAUCGCAGCCCGUGCGCCCUCCGGACUCCAGUUCGCCGGGACUGGGCGACACCAGAAGCGGCUAGUGUGAGUGAAACAAACGGGAAAUUUGCUCUGGCCCGCCUGCCCAGCCACCCACGGCUGCCUGUUGGCCAAUCACCAUUUGACCAGUCCAGGAAGAGCAACUGUGGCAGGCCUGAUUUCCUGGGAGGCCCCAGACUCCCUUUGCCUACCUCUUCCUCUCUGACCCCAUCCUCGCUUUGAUGCCCGGGACCUGCUACCCAGAAACAACGUGAGGCUCAGAGAGAAGAAAUGACUAAAAUUACACAGCUGGUACAUGGCAGAGGUGGAACUAAAAAGUUAAGUGUGUCUACCCCAGAGCCGAGUAGACCUGCUCUUUUUUGAACACUUCCUGGACUUUCAUGCCUUUGUCCCAGCUGUGCCCUCUCCCUGGAUGCCCCUUCCAUCUGGGCAGCUCCUACUAGACCUGCCUUGGCAUACAUAACACAGGAGAACGGAUUGCCAAAGGGUAGGAGAGUGCCUGGUCUAUAGUGUGCGCCCAACACAGAUUUGGUGAAUGAAUGAACACUGGGUCCAGCAGACCUGGAUUCUUCCAUGUAACCCACUGUGUGGCCUUGGUGGAGCCAUGCGGGUGCAAUAAUCCUGGUUUCCACCCUUCAGGGCUGCUGCUGGGACUCAGUGAGAUCAUCAUGUAUCUAAUGCCCUUUGCUCAGUGCUGGGCACACAGUCAAUGCGCAUUGAAUCUUAGCUAUUGCUACCUUUACAAUCAAUCAAAAGUCACUUCUGAAGAAUAGACAGGGCUCCCCCAGGCCAAAUAAAUAAUUCCUCCCGGGACAAACCCCAGCUCUCACUCCCUCCUCUUUAGGCAGGGGGCUCCCUGAAGGACAGAGACCCGGUUUUAUUCCAUCUUGCCGUCCCCCAUGGUGCCGGGCAUACAGUGGUGCCCAGUAAACGUGUGUGUUGCACAAACAUGCGGUAACUAGGGCCCCAUCUUUUUCAAAAGAACACACUCCCCAGGUGCAGCCGCAAAGAGAGACUGUUCAGCUGUUCAGGUGAGGUUUUGGGGUGAAACUCGUCUGAAUAAUAGUUUUACUGAACACAGCCUCACCCCCAACAAGGAGGCAAUUUGAGGUGGGGGUGGGGAGACUUAAAUGUGGGCUCCCGGGUUUUAAAGGGGGUAGCGCGGGAGGAAGCCCCCCAAUAAUUGCGGGGCUUCCCCCACCCCCAGAGCUGGAUUAGAGGCUGCGCCACUUCCUUUGGGGCUCGCUCGCGCUUCCUGGGAGCCUUUGAUGUGGGUUCUUGGUAGAUCCUGCCCGCGGGGCCUGGAUGCGGGCGGAGCCUCCGGGCAGGGCGGGGCCUCAGCCUGGGUCCGCACUGGGGAGGCGGCCACCCGGUAGCUUGGGCGGGUUCCGCCCACCUCCCGCCUGUAUUUACAGCCCCCUUCCAACAUCCCCGACUCCCUGAGGGCGCCCCUCAUUCUGCUCGGCCUUGCCUUCCCCAUUCGGCCACAUCCUCCUCUCUCCCAACUCAGCUUCGACCCCCAAAGCCUUUCCCUAACCAUCGGAACCACAGGCUUUUCUCCGGCCUCUGAGUGCCAGUCUUCAACUAGGUGUCUUUUAAAAAAUCAAAAAGCAUCUCAUCCUACGGGAUGUGUGUGAAAAAAUAAAAAUAAAAUAAAGAAAAAGGGGGCCGGGCGCGGGAGCUCACGCCUGUAAUCCCAGCACUUUGGGAGGCCUAGGCGGGCGGAUCACCUGCAGUCAGGAGUUCGAGACCAGCUUGACCAAACUAGAGAAACUCCGUCUCUACUGAAAAUACGAAAUUAGCCGCGCAUGGUGGCGCAUGUCUGUAAUCCUAGCUACUCUGGAGGCUGAGGCAGGGGAAUCUCUUGAACCUGGGAGGUGGAGGUUGCAGUGAGCCGAGAUAGCGUCAUUGCACUCUUGCCUGGGCAAUAACAAGAGCGAAGCUCCAUCUCCAAAAAAAAAAAAAGAAGAAAGAAAAAAAGAAAAAGAUAGCCCAUCGCUCCUCCAUUGCAGACCCAAAGGCUGUCAGCUGAAUGGAAGGUGCUUCCUCACGACCUUUGGGAUAAGUAAAUUUGAAGUAAUAGAAAUAGCCAGCUGGGCGCGGUGGCUCAUGCCUGUAAUCCCAGCACUUUGGGAGGCUGAGGGGGGCAGAUCACCUGAAGUUAGGAGCUCGAGACCAGUCUGGCCAACAUGGUGAAACCCCGUCUCUACUAAAAAUAAUUAGCCAGGCGAGGUGGCGUGCACCUGUAAUCCCAGCUACUCAAGGAGGCUGAGGCAGGAGAAUAGCUUGAACCCGGGAGGCAGAGUUUGCAGUGAGCUGAGAUCGCGCCAUUGCACUCCAGUGAGCCGAGAUCGCACCAUUGCACUCCAGCCUGGGCAACAAGAGCGAAACUCCAUCUCAAAAAAAAAAUUUUUUUUGAAAAAUAGGCCAGGCCUGCCUCAGUGCUCUUACACGUACUGUCCCCUCUGCCUGGAUCAGUUUGUGCCCCUGCCCCCAAAUUUUCAGGGCUGGCUCCCUCGCCUCCUUCAGAUCUCUGUUUGAAGUUCAGCUCAUGUCUGCCACAUGUCCUAACCACCGUAUUUAAAAUAGCAGCCUCAGGCCAGGUGCGGUGGCUCACGUCUGUAAUCCCAGCACUUUGGGAGGCCAAAGCAGGCAGAUCACCUGAGGUUGGGAGUUCGAGACCAGCCUGACCAACGUGGAGAAACCACAUCUCUACUAAAAAUACAAAAUUAGCCGGGCGUGGUGGAGCAUGCCUGUAAUCCCAGCGACUCUGUCUCAAAAUAAAAUAAAAUAAAAUAAAUAAAAUAAAAUAAAAUAAAAUAAAAUAAAAUAUAAAAUAAAAUAAAAUAAAAUAAAAUAUAGCAGCCUCUCACCCCACUCCACCUCUGGACUCCCUGUCCCCCUUCCUUGCUGUAUUUUUCUCCAUAGCAAUUACCACCACCAGCUGCCACACUCCAGAGAUUACCGUUCGUUUGUCUAUUGUCUGUCUCCCCCUGCUCACACCACCCCCAUUCGUGUGUGAGCUCCAGGAGAAGGGCCGGGGUUGCUGCUGCUCUGUGAGUCAUGAACCGUCCCCACCCCCUAGUCUGUCCUACAAAUUUGUUAAAUGAAUGAGCAAAUAAACAUAGUGGCUUCCCAGCUGACCAGUGAUGAAAGCUUACACUGCGUGAUCUAGGCUAGUCACUGCUGUCUUUCCCUCCCUCUCCUCAUCAGUGCAUUGAGAGAUGACAGUAGCUCGGCCUCUUAGAGCAGUAUGACGAUGGCACAAGUUACUAUUUGCCAAGCACAGAGCAUGACGUCAUGCCCAGAAGCCCAGGAUACAAUCCAGAGACAAUGACAAAUGGGGGAUUCCCGCUUCUGCAGAAGGUGGGGCGACUGGUGCCCAGGGGCCCCCAGGAAGUGCCCUUACCUGACUCCCAGGAUCCUCCUCUGUGACCCUGGGGCCUUCCAACCUGCCAGGUACUUUUCCUGUAUUAUCUUAUUUUAUCCUCCCAAUAGCCUCUGUGAGCAGCACACUCCCCAUUUCACAGACAAGGAAACUGAGGCUUACACAAGUGAAGUGACCUGCUCGACGUUGCACAAGGAAGUGGCAAAGUCAGCCUCUGAAUCCAAGCCGUUGGGCUCUAAAGGCCCUGAUGCCACUCAGCUAACCAUGUGGCCUCUGGACAUCACUGCCAUCUUUUCUCUUACCCUCCUCUCCUCCUUGCACUGUGUUCUGAGGGUCAGCCUGACAACCCGUGUCCCCUGGGCAGAUGUGCAGAGGAAGAUCAAGUUGUUGUUCGCCAGGGGCCGAGGGCAAAUUUCUGGCUUCCCACGGCCACCACUUACUGGGAGUUUCGGAUGAGGUGCUUCACUGCCCUGAGCUCUUCUUCCGGGUCAAGUGGGGAUAAAAAUAAAACAAUACCCACCUUGUGGGAAGACAUGGGAUCCUGAAAAACCUGGCAACGUGCCUGGCACAUGGAUCUCGCUCUGUCACCCAGGCCAGAGUGCAGUGGUGCGAUCAUGACUCUCUACAGCCUUCCAUCUCCCCAGGCUCAGAGCCGGCGCUCAGUGAGUGCAUGAGUGAGUAAGCGGCUGACCAGCGACUAUGCAGCAUGAAUGAAUGACAGACUGAAUGACAUGAAGCCUGGAGUCUCAAGGCCGAGACUGCAAAAGAAGAGUCCAUCCUCCUAUCCCCUCUGCUCUGAACUCUCUUCAUGAUCCUGAAGGUGCUUGGUACCUGGAGACUACGGAGCCAGCCUGCCGGGGUUCUAGUCUGAACUCAGUCACUUCCCAGCUGUGUAACUUUGGACAAGUUACUUAACCUCUCUGUGCCUCUGGUCCCUUCUCUGUAAAGUGUAGUCAUCGGCCGGGCGUGGUGGCUCACGCCUGUAAUCCCAGCACUUUGGGAGGCCAAGGCAGACGAAUCACUUGAGGUCAGGAGUUCAAGACCAGCCUGCCCAACAUGGUGAAACCCUGUCUCUACUAAAAACACAAAAAUCAGCCGGGUGUCGGGGGCAGGCACCUGUAAUCCCAGCUACUCGGGAGGCUAAGGCACGAGAAUUGCUUGAACCCGGGAGGCGGAGGUUGCAGUGAGCUGACAUCUCGCCACUGCACUCCAGCCUGGGCAACAGAGUGAGACUCAAAAAAAAAAAAAAAAAAUACAGAGGUAAUCAUAGUGCCUCCUUCACAGGGUUUUUGAGAGGACUGAAUGAGUUUUACAAGUGAAGUGCUUAGAACGACGUUGCACAUGUAGUGAGAACUACAUGAGUGUUGGCCAAUGCUAUUACUGAGGUUCCAGCUUACGCGUUCAUUGAGUCACUCACUCACUCACUGUUCAUUCACUGAUUCGCUCCUACAUGCCAUCCGCCACUUACACACCCCUCCCUCUUCACCGUCAUCUGUUAAGCAAUCCCCGUGUGCCCGGCUCUCUCCUCUCGGUCCUCCCAGCCCCCCUUUGCCAGUCUUGGAUGGUGCCCGCCGUGCUGCCAAUUACCCUAACAAUUUCAUUAAUUCCUCUCAAGCCCAAAACAAACAAGAAGGACCUAUCUGGAGCAGGGGUCACGUGCUAAGACCAGAAGCAGGUGUGGGACAAACCCUCUAGGACGAGUUCUUUGACCAGAGUUCAUCACCGGAGCUGCUCCAGAGAUGGCCAGGCCUCCCCACCUGCAGGUGCCCGGCCAGUGCCCCCCACCCCGGGCAGCCUCACCCACUCCCCUCUUUGAGUAAAGGUAAAGGGACUUGCCCAAGGCUGGGUUCUCCCACAUCCCGACUGCACCUGUCCACAUUUCAGGCUUCAUUCAUGCCAGGAGCCCCAGACCUGCUCCAUGCACCAGCUCCGCCCAAGCCUGGAGCCCCGGGCUGGCUGAGGUGAGAGCCCCAAAGCUCGAGCCCAUUUCAGCAGCUAACAAUUAGAGCUGGUGUGAACAUGAUGACUGCAUGCUGAUUAAUGUAAGAUGGCUGAGCAGAAGAUCCCGCCAUUUCCUUCCCCACAGGCCCUGGGAGAACAGGUCCCGCUGGGGAAGACUCUGUCGUGUUCUGCAAAAGCCAUUUCUUGAGCACGUCCUGCAGGCCGGGCACUGCGCUGGGCACUUGAUUCCUUUCAACAGCAUGACAUGGUGGGAGGACAACUUGCCUCUCAUUGAUGAAGAAACGGAGGCUCAGAGAGGUAAAGGAACUUGCCCAAGGCCACACAGCCAGUCAGUGUGGUCCUGGAAUUCCAAUCCAGGUCUUCUCUUGCUGAUUCCUACCCCCAGGGAUGAGCCAGUUUGACAUUUGUGGAACUGGAGAGAGGCUGGGUUUGGGCAUAAGGUAAUGUUUAGGCCAGAGGGUGGAGAAGGAGAGGACAGCCAGAGAGGCAGAGCCAAGCGCCAGGCAGGAACAAUGGUACAGGGCAGGUAACGGGAGCCCGGCCAGCUCUGGGACUCCUGGGCAGGCCCUGCUGGGCCCUGCGAGCAACAGGCUCACCCUGUGGAGCUGCCAGGGUGACAGCAGCCUCGAUCUGCUGACUCAACGAGUGCAUCGGCCUUUUCCUGGAAAACAGUAGACGCAGUGUGGGUGUCGGAGGGAGGCACCUGUUUGGGAAAAGGGUGUGUGGGAACCCUGUCCUGCCCUGCAGCUCCCCACAGCCAGUGUACAGGUACUUAGCUCCAGGUGCCCCCCGAACCUCCCACCACCUGCCCAGACCCCAGAAGCCACCGGAUCCAGGAGUCCGAGCCAGCUGUGGGCUGAGUCCAUGGUGCCACCAAGGCUCUGCAUGACCAGUGCUGCCAGCCACCACCUCAGCCAAGCAGCACAGCCUCUCAGGGCAUGUCCCCACUUGCUGUCUGCAGAGCCUUGUUUUGCCCCACCCUGAAGGGGCAGGUGUAGACGAGCAUUGAGGCAGGUCUAUGUGACACCACUUGCUGUCACUCUUCUUUGGGAGGUAUCAGGGCCACUCUGCCACGGGGCACAGCUUAGGGCCUCCAUGGAAUCUGGUCUGAAGGAUCCCGCUGCCCAGAGGGGGGUCAAGAAUACGGAAUGGGUUCAGGAGCACCCCCUGUCUUCAGGAUCCAGUUGGGGGAGGUCCCAGCAGGGCCAGUCACAGACACUUGUCACACCCUGGAGGGGAUAAUAGGAUCUGGGGCUCAGCCUCCACCAAUUUCAUCACCACACACCACACCCAGGCAAGGGAGAGCAGAGGCAUCAGCAGGGCCUGGCUGAGGGGCUGAAGCCUGGUGGGGAAGCAGGGAGGGCCCCUGGGCCUCUCGGUCCUAUCUCUUCCCAAUCCAGGCCUCAGCGGACUCCAGGGCAGGGGUGCGGGAGCUGAUUUCCAGGUGCAAUAUUCACUGUCACCAUGGCCGCUUCCAGCACCCAGCCUGAAUUUCCUAGUGCAAUGCUGGGAAGAACUAGUCUUUUUCUUUUUUUUUCUUUUUUUCUUUUUUUUUUUUUUUGAGACAAACUCCUGCACUGUCGCCCAGACUGGAGUGCAGUGGCACGAUCUCAGCUUGCUGCAACCUUCGACUCCCAGGUUCAAGCGAUUCUCUUACCUCGGCCUCCCAAGUAGCUGGGAUUACCAGUGCCCCACCACCACGCCUGGCUAAUAUUUUUUUUUUUUUUUUUUUUGAGACGGAGUCUUGCUCUGUCACUGAGGCUGGAGUGCAGUGGCGCGAUCUCAGCUCACUGCAAGCUCCGCCUCCCGGGUUCACGCCAUUUUCCUGCCUCAGCCUCCCAAGUAGCUGGGACUACAGGCGCCCGCCACCACGCCCGGCUAAGUUUUUGUAUUUUUAGUAGAGACGGGGUUUCACUGUGGUCUCAAUCUCCUGACCUCGUGAUCCACCUGCCUCGGCCUCCCAAAGUGCUGGGAUUACAGGCGUGAGCCACCGUGCCUGGCCAAUUUUUUUGUAUUUUUAGUAGAGAUGGGGUUUCGCCAUGUUGACUGUGGCUGGUCUCGAACUCCUGACCUUAUGAUCCCCCUGCCUUUGCCUCCCAAAGUGCUGGGAUUACAGGUGUGAGCCACCGUGCCUGGCCUCUUUUUCUUUUUCUUUUGAGAUAGGGUCUCACUCUGUCACUCAGGCUGGAGUACAGUGGAGUGAUCAUGGCUCACUGCAGCCUCUACCUCCCAAGCUCAAGUGAUCCUCCCACCUCAGCCUCCUGAGUAGCUAGGAUACAGGCACUCACCACCACACCUGGCUAAUUAAAAAAAAAUUUUUUUUUUUGAGACAGAGUCUCGCUCUGUCGCCCAGGCUGGGGGGCAAUGGCGCGAUCUCGGCUCACUGCAAGCUCCACCUCCUGGGUUCACGCCGUUCUCCCACCUCAGCCUCCUGAGUAGCUGGGACUACAGGCGCCCACCACCACGCCCAGCUAACUUUUUGUAUUUUUAGUAGAGACAGAGUUUCACCUUGUUAGCCAGGAUGGUCUUGAUCUCCUGACCUCAUGAUCUGCCCGCCUCGGCCUGCCAAAGUGCUGGGAUUACAGGCAUGAGCCACCAUACCCUGUCAAAAAAAAUUUUUUUAGAGAUGAUGUCUCACUAUGUUGCCCAGGCUAGUCUCAAACUCCUGAGCUCAAGUGAUCCUUCUGCCUCAGCCUCCCAAAGUGCUGGGAUGACAGGUGUGAGCCACUGUGCCCGGCCUGGGCAGAGCUCCUCCUGAGAGCCCGUCUGAGUGGGCUCGGGUACAGCACUGGCACAUCCUCCGUGUCUUCACUUCCAGCCUCUCAAGCUGUUGUGAGAAUCCUGGGGGCUGGGGAACAUGCUUACACUUUGAGCUGGAAUCGCUGCAGAGCUAGGGUCGGGGAAGUUGUGAUAGUCAAGGGCUUCGGGGAGUAGGCCUAGGUCUGGUGGGUCUGGUUUCAAAGAAGCUCUGCCUUUUACUUGCUGUGUGACUUCAGGCAAGUCACUUCUCCUCUCUGAGCUUCCCUUUCCUUCUUAGUAAAGUUUGGCUGAGUUGAACAGAACCUGCUCCUAGCAGAGUUACAAGGAUUAAAGGGCAUAAUUGGUGCCAAUGGAGUGGUAAACAACACUCAGUGCACAGUGGCGGUGAUUUUUAUUGUCCCCUUAUUCAGUCAAGAACUUGGCAUAUCCGGGGCAGUGGCUCACGCCUGUAAUCCCAGCACUUUGGAAUGCCGAGGUGGGUAGAUCACCUGAGGUCAGGAGUACGAGACCAGCCUGGCCAACAUGGCAAAAACCCAUCUCUGCUAAAAAUACAAAAAUUAGCCUGGCAUGGUGGUGCAUGCCUGUAAUCCCAGCUACUCAGGAGGCUGAGGAAAGAGAAUCGCUUGAGCCUGGGAGGCGGAAGUUGCAGUGAGCUGAGAUUGUGCCACUGCACUCCAGCCUGGGUGACAGAGCGAGACUCUUAAAAAAAAAAAAAAAAAAAGGGAGGCAUGGGGGGCUAGGGAAGGGAUAGCAUUAGGAGAAAUACCUAAUGUAAAUAGCGGGUUGAUGGGUGCAGCAAACCACCAUGGCACGUGUAUACCUAUGUAACAAACCUCCAUGUUCAACACAUGUAUCCCAGAAAUUAAAGUAUAAAAAAAAUUACACCAAUAUAAAGAAUGGAUACAUUAUGUGAGUUACUGUGCCAUGUGAUAAUGAAGUUCAAAUUGUAAAUACAACCACUAACUAUUUCUGUGAUUCAUAUUUUUAUAUAAGAAAAAUAAAAAGAAGAAGAAGAACUUGACAUGAAGGACUGGGACAUCAUAGGACCAAGGGGGUGGUCUCUGGAGCCUCUGAGCAUGUUUCAGACUUAGGAACCCUCACAGCUGAGGCCAGGACUGGCCAUGUGCUCCUGUCUCCAGGGCUCUAUGCCCUCCCUUCCCUCUACCCAGCCCACUGCCCCUGCCCCUACUCCCUACCCCUGCCCCACAGACACAGCCAAGCCUCAGGAGGACUCAACCCACAGGAAUGUGGGCAAUGAGCAGGCUGCGCUCGGAGGACCCCGCUAUCCCAGCCCUGGGCUCUGCCGCCCUCUGGUGGCUGGGCUGGGAAGGAUGCUGCUCCCAUUACUGCCGUUGUAGAACCGCAAUUGCCCUAAAAAAAUAAAAUGCUGUUGCUGCUACUCAUGAUGAUGACGAUGAUGGCGAUGACGAUGAUGAUGAUAUUCAUUGCUUUAUGGUUUGCCAAGUACCUUCUCCGUCAAUCAUAGGCUGCACCAAACAGAGUGCAGGGUUCUGGACUGAAAUCAGAUGGGAAUGUAAGUCCCUAGUCAAGUUCCAACUGAUUAUGUGACCUUGGGCAAGUCAUGUCACUUCCUUGAGCCUCAGACUCCUCAUCUGUGGAACGGGGUGACAAAAAUAGGGUUGUUAUAAGGAUUAAAAGACCUAACACCU